CACCCAGCCCCUGGCUGUCUGACAUCCUUCGUGAACAUCGGACUGACCUCAGGGCAGCUAAGAGGAGAUGGCGGAAAUCUAAAGAUUCAGCAGAUCUAGAACAAGCUGCUGGAUGACAAUAGUGGACACUCCACCGAGACUGCCCUGCUGUCUGUCACUGAGUCACUGAGACAGGCGAAAGCUGAAUCCAGAUCAUCCGUCCUGAUUCUACUGGACAUUUCUGCAGCCUUCGACACAGUCAACCAUCAGAUCUUACUCUCCACCCUCUCUAUGCUGGGCAUCACAGGAACUGUGCUUGACUGGUUUAAUUCCUAUUUCUCAGCCCAACGACACCACAGUGACUGCUCGAAUCUCUGCCUCCCUGGCAGACAUCUCGGCCUGGAUGAAGGAACACCACCUGCAACUCAACCCAGCCAAGACUGAACUCCUUGUCUUUCCAGCCAACCCUGCUGUUGAACACAACAUCACCGUGCAGCUGGGUACAACUACAGUAACGCCUUCCAAAACGGUCAGAAAUCUAGGGGUAACCAUCGAUAAUAAACUAAAUUUCACAGACCACAUCUCAAAGACCGCAAGAUCAUGUAGAUUUACACUCUACAAUAUCAGGAAGAUAAGACCCUUCCUCUCUGAACAUGCCACAUGACUGCUUGUUCAGUCACUUGUCAUAACUAGACUGGACUACUGUAAUGCUCUCAUUGCAGGCCUCCCUGCAUGUGCAAUUAGACCCCUGCAAAUGAUCCAGAAUGCAGCAGCAUGUAUGGUCUUUAAUGAACCAAAGAGAGCGCAUGUUACACCACUCCUUGUCUUUCUCCACUGGCUGCCGGUUGAUGCACGUAUCAAAUUCAAGGCUCUGAUGCUGGCAUACAGAACUGUCACUGGGUCUGCUCCAGCAUACCUAAAAUAAUUUCUGCAGAGCUAAGCGCCCACUAGAAGCCCGCGGUCGGCUAAGGAACGUCACCUUGUUGUACCAACACAAAGAGGCGCCAAAACACUUUCCCGGACAUUCAGCUUCAUCAUACCACAUUGGUGGAAUGAUCUUCCCAACUCCAUCCGACUCACUCUCUGACUUCAAAAAACGACUAAAAAUACAUCUUUUUCAU